rnacentral:lncRNA from 1 species
UCAUCAUAAUUUGACUCUCCUGACCUAUAGUUUCUAAAGAGUUUUUUACUACUGUAACAUCAUGUAUCUGAUCUCUGUCACAAUGGACAAGUAUACAGGAAAUAUCCAACUUUCAUAUGUUUGCUUCAAAAAGGUUACAGGUUGAAUAGGUCAGCUCUUAUGUUUUUGUUUCUUAACCAGCAUCAACCUAUAUAGCUUGGUGUAAACUUGCCAAGUAUUCAGAGAAUAGUGCUGGUUAAAAUUUAAAUAUGAUAGUCAGGAAGAAAAUAUGAUCUCUAUUGACUGAUGUCCUUUCAAACUAGGACUGAUGUAUAAAAUUCAUUAUCAGUCUGCAAUGCAGAAACAUAUCUAAGAUGUUAAAUAUUGUGUUUCUUGAGAAAUGUGUAAUUUUUCCCUAGAUGUAUCUAGUUACAUUAAGGAUGUAAAUUUUCUUUUGUACAGUAUAAAAUACAGCUUUAUUUGGCUUUUGA